rnacentral:rRNA from 1 species
UUUGACCUCAAAUCAGGUAGGACUACCCGCUGAACUUAAGCAUAUCAAUAAGCGGAGGAAAAGAAACCAACAGGGAUUGCCUCAGUAGCGGCGAGUGAAGCGGCAAAAGCUCAAAUUUGAAAUCUGGCGUCUUUGGCGUCCGAGUUGUAAUUUGAAGAAGGUAUCUUUGGGCCCGGCUCUUGUCUAUGUUCCUUGGAACAGGACGUCACAGAGGGUGAGAAUCCCGUGCGAUGAGAUGACCCGGGUCUGUGUAAAGUUCCUUCGACGAG